rnacentral:rRNA from 1 species
AUACGGAGGGUGCAAGCGUUGUUCGGAAUCACUGGGCGUAAAGGGCGCGCAGGCGGUUUGGUAAGUCAGAUGUGAAAGCCCAUGGCUCAACCAUGGAAGUGCAUUUGAAACUGUCAGACUUGAGUACUAGAGGGGAAAGUGGAAUUCCCGGUGUAGAGGUGAAAUUCGUAGAUAUCGGGAGGAAUACCGGUGGCGAAGGUGACUUUCUGGCUAGAUACUGACGCUGAGGCGCGAAAGCGUGGGGAGCAAACAGGAUUAGAAACCCUAGUAGUCC